CCUACGGUGGGCAGCAGUGAGGAAUAUUGGUCAAUGGGCGUAAGCCUGAACCAGCCAAGUCGCGUGAGGGAUGAAGGUUCUAUGGAUCGUAAACCUCUUUUAUCAGGGAAUAAAGUGUGGGACGUGUCCUUUUUUGUAUGUACCUUAUGAAUAAGGAUCGGCUAACUCCGUGCCAGCAGCCGCGGUAAUACGGUGGAUCCGAGCUUUAUCCGGAUUUUAUGGGUGUAAAGGGUGCGUAGGCGGCUUUUUAAGUCAGCGGUGAAAGUCUGUGGCUCAACCAUAGAAUUGCGGUUGAAACUGGGAGGCUUGAGUAUGUUUGAGGCAGGCGGAAUGCGUGGUGUAGCGGGGAAAUGCUUAGAUAUCACGCAGAACCCCGAUUGCGAAGGCAGCCUGCCAAGCCAUGACUGACGCUGAUGCACGAAAGCGUGGGGAUCAAACAGGAUUAGAUACCCGUGUAGUC
rnacentral:rRNA from 1 species